rnacentral:rRNA from 1 species
AUUGAACGCUGGCGGCAGGCCUAACACAUGCAAGUCGAGCGAGCGGCGGACGGGUGCGUAAUACCUGGAAAUUGCCCAGUCGAGGGGGAUAACAGUUGGAAACGACUGCUAAUACCUCAUACGAUUUGAUUGCCCAGGUGGGGUUAGCUAGUUGGUGAGGUAAUGGCUCACCAAGGCGACGGUCCCUAGCUGGCCUGAGAGGAUGAUCGGCCACACUGGAACUGAGACACGGCCCAGACUCCUACGGGAGGCAGCAGUGGGGAAUAUUGGUCAAUGGGGGAAACCCUGAUGCAGCCAUGCCGCGUGUGUGAAGAAGGCCUUCGGGUUGUAAAGCACUUUCAGCGGGGAGGCGUUACCCGAAGAAGAAGCACCGGCUAACUCCGUGCCAGCAGCCGCGGUAAUUC